ACACGACUACAUUAGAUACCCCCCGUAGUCCUAGCCGUAAACGAUACUCGCUAGGUGUCGGCCACGGUGCGACCGUUGUCGGUGCCGUAGGGAAGCCGUGAAGCGAGCCACCUGGGAAGUACGGCCGCAAGGCUGAAACUUAAAGGAAUUGGGCGGGGGAGCACCACAACGGGUGGAGCCUGCGGUUUAAUUGGACUCAACGCCGGGAAGCUCACCGGAUAAGACAGCGGAAUGAUUGCCGGGCUGAAGACCCUGCAUGACCAGCUG
rnacentral:rRNA from 1 species